rnacentral:sRNA from 1 species
AGCUCACUGCAACCUCCGCCUCCCAGGUUCAAGUGAUUCUCCUGCCUCAGACUCCUGAGUAGCUGGGAUUACAGGCAUGUGCCACCACGCCCGGCUCAUUUUUGUAUUUUUAGUAGAGACAGGGUUUCACCAUGUUGGUCAGGCUGCUCUUGAACUCCUGGCCUCGUGAUCCACCCACCUUGGCCUCCUAAAGUGCUGGGAUUACAGGCGUGAGCAACUGCGCCUGGCCUACUACUCUGUUUUACAGAUGAACUUGAGGUUCAGAGAGGUCAAGUCAUUUGCCUGAGGACACACAGCCCAACUCUUCCUUUUAACACUGACCAGGCAAUGGAGUGGGAGUGAUGAGAAUGAAGUGGUGGCUCUUCUGGGACCAGAGGACAGUUCCAAAGUCUUCUUUGGGCCAUAGGGGGCUUUGGGACUCUUCUGGGGCCAGAGAACAGUUCCAAAGUCCCAGGCAAGGGGAGUUCCAUCUUCCAGUCCCGCCUCCUGGUUGUCAACUGCGCUGAUAGGGGCCCGAGUAGGAGUUCUGAGGCUCCAGCCUCUCAGGCCCCACUUGCCCCACCCAUUCUGCUUGCAGACCUCCCAGCUAACUGGAACCUGUGUCCACAGAAUGCUGUCCAGUUUCAACGAGUGGUUUUGGCAGGACAGGUUCUGGUUACCACCCAAUGUCACGUGGACAGAGCUAGAAGACCGGGAUGGCCGUGUCUACCCCCACCCCCAGGACUUGCUGGCAGCCCUGCCCCUGGCGCUGGUCCUCCUGGCCAUGCGCCUUGCCUUUGAGAGAUUCAUUGGCCUGCCCCUGAGCCGGUGGCUGGGUGUGAGGGAUCAGACCAGGAGGCAAGUGAAGCCCAACGCCACGCUGGAGAAACACUUCCUCACGGAAGGGCACAGGCCCAAGGAGCCCCAGCUGUCUCUCCUGGCCGCCCAGUGUGGCCUCACGCUGUGGCAGACCCAGCGAUGGUUCCGGAGACGCCGGAACCAGGAUCGACCCCAGCUGACCAAGAAGUUCUGUGAGGCCAGCUGGAGGUUUCUCUUCUACCUGUCCUCCUUCGUGGGCGGCCUCUCGGUCCUGUACCACGUAAGUAUACCGGAGUAUAGCUGACUGCUCACCUGCCCCAUCCACCUGGCCUAGAUCUGGCAGGAGGGGGGUGGUGUGGACUGGUGCAGCCAGAGAGGAAAACAUGCAGCUGAGGAGAGAGCGAGCUUGGCAAGAUGGUGGUGAAUGUUCACUCAACAGGUAUUUGGAUUUACUAUGCACCAAAAGUUGGGGUUCUGCAGUGAAUGAGCCCCCCAGUCGAGAGUGAGAAGCAGGAAAAAGCAGGGCUGGGUGAAGGUAGCAUCUAUGAGACUGUGGAAAGAGAACCAAAGAGACCACAGACCGAGGGUGUGAGGUUGGAUUCUCACCUCCGCACAGCCUGACACCCGUUUCCCUGCAGGAGUCAUGGCUGUGGGCACCAGUAAUGUGCUGGGACAGGUACCCAAACCAGACUCUGAAGCCAUCCCUGUACUGGUGGUACCUCUUGGAGCUGGGUUUCUACCUCUCACUGCUAAUCAGGCUGCCCUUUGAUGUCAAGCGCAAGGAUUUCAAGGAGCAGGUGAUACACCACCUCGUGGCGGUCAUCCUGAUGACCUUUUCCUACAGCGCCAACCUGCUGCGCAUUGGCUCUCUGGUGCUGCUGUUACACGAUUCCUCCGACUACCUGCUGGAGGCCUGUAAGAUGGUCAACUACAUGCAGUAUCAGCAAGUGUGCGACGCUCUCUUCCUCAUCUUCUCCUUUGUCUUCUUCUACACCCGACUGGUCCUCUUUCCCACCCAGAUCCUCUACACCACAUACUACGAGUCCAUCACCAACAGGGGCCCCUUCUUCGGCUACUACUUCUUCAACGGGCUUCUGAUGUUGCUGCAGCUGCUGCACGUGUUCUGGUCUUGCCUCAUUCUGCGCAUGCUCUAUAGCUUCAUGAAGAAGGGCCAGAUGGAGAAGGACAUUCGUAGUGAUGUAGAAGAAUCAGACUCCAGUGAGGAGGCGGCGGCGGCCCAGGAACCUCUGCAGCUAAAGAACGGGGCAGCUGGAGGGCCCAGGCCAGCCCCCACUGAUGGCCCUCGGAGCCGGGGGGCCGGGCGUCUGACCAACAGGCACCCAACAGCCACAUAGCCGGGCGGGGCUGGCUGUAAGGGGUUGCCCCCCCGCCAGCGCCUUGGAUAUUUCUGGGGUGACUGGACUGGCGCCCCUGGGCCACCUUUCUGGAGACAGGGAGGGCCCCACCCGGGGUGGGCUGAUGAUCUGUCUCCAGCCCCUUCCUUCUGCCCACCCGCCCUUCUUCCCUCUGGGCAACUGGACAGAGCUGGGAGCCAGCAGCUGGAUGCUGUGGCUGGCCAGAGACACCUCCAGGCUGUAGCCUGGGGGCUGGGGGGAGCCCCAGGCUGAAAAGGGUCCAAUUAAAACAAAUGGAGCC